rnacentral:miRNA from 1 species
CCCAACCCACAGGGGUGCCCUG